rnacentral:lncRNA from 1 species
UUCGGCCCAGCCCGUGGUUGACUGACCCCUGGACUGGGGGUAACGGAGAGGAAAGCAUGUGCUGAAAGAAGGGCUCAGAGCCCUCAGGUCAGAGCCUGGACAGGAGACAGACAGCUUCAGGUGUGGGGAGGCACACGGAACGGACAGCGAAGCAUGGGACGUGGGUCCGGCGCCAGCCACCAGCAGCUGGAGGACUUCUCGGAGCAGGUACCAUGACAGCUAUGCAGCGGGCUCCUGACUUCUGACCCACAUCAGCCUCAGGGAUUGCAUGAACAGGGCCAGCCUCAGAUGACCUUUCCCUGCUGGCGAGGCGCUGGCCGAGCACAACGAGCUCCCCGCACAAACAUAACUCACAGGAGCUCAAGUAACGAGAAGAGAAUUGCACCAGGAUGAUGAACUCGGAUGGCUGCCACCACCUUCGCCUCCUCCAACCCAUGACAUACUUCCCAUUCAUGCAAGGGAAGCUUCCAGAAGGGGCCAUGUUCCCGGUGUGGACCAUAGCUGUGGGCCUCUGAGAAGCUGCAGCAGCAUCAGCUGGAUGUUGGGAUCUGUGCUGGCACCAUGUAGGGGCUGGGACAGCUUCAGAGUCACCAGGCCCAGCUAGAACUCCAGGUUGACCUGGGAGCAAACCAGCUCCUCAGUCACUCUCCCCCAAGUCCCCCUGUGGCCACGCAAGGCUGAGAUGCUGCAGACGAGGAGGGCAGGCCCCCCUUGCAGGCUCCUUCUGCAGGCGCCCUCCUGAUAAGUUUGCUGAACCGGGUAGGAGAGAAAAGGAGACUGUCUGGAGAUGGGAGGGGCCUGAUGCCAGGCCUGGACUUCUGCAGGAGCGGAUGCUUCACAGUCACUCACGUGCAGGUGCAGUUUGAGCCAAACACACCUUGAUAGCCCUGAGGCUUAAAAGCCCAACCUCAGCCCCACACCGGAUCCUAAACAAUCCUCAUCCCCAAAGCCAGACCACCUCUAUUUGAGUCAGCUGUGUGACCACAUGCACGUCAUUUAACCUCUCUGCCUCCAUUUCCGGAAUGGUAAGACAGGAUGAUCAACGCCCUAACCUUGACGUUUGCUGUAAGGAUGUAGGACAGUGACUGCCCCCGGGAGGACUGGGUCAGCACCAGUCGUGGAUAUAACGACUCUCCUGGCCCUAAACAAGCAAAGACCUCACAGACCCAAAUCCAGCACCUUCCUUCAACACAUUUUCACAUAAACAGUGGGAGAAAAACUCAAGACUUUUUCCUCUUUCUAUUUAGAACCAUAAAAGCCCAGUUAGGGUCUCAAACCUAGAAUUUAGCUUUCCAUAAUUUCUCUAACCCGAGGCUUCUAUUAGGCCUGGUAAAUGGAGGACGUGAUCCAUGGUCCCCAUUCCAGCCUGUCACUGCAAAGUGAUCCCCUACAUUCUCACACAUAUCCACACUCACACUCAGUUUCUCAUGCCCUCGCACAGUUUCUCACGCUGACACCUCACUCAAACACACACCCGAUUGAAGGGGGACGCUGCUGCUGAACUUCUGAGACACGGUGUGUAACGUCUGCUUCCUGAGUGAAGGUCAUAGGUCAUCUGUUAACCUAUGCCGAAAACUACAGUACGGUGUGGUUGAAAGCACUGACGCCACAACAGACCAGGCCACGCACCGCCCGGCAACCCUCUCAGCUUGCCAGCCUCUUGCUUCACUCCAAGGCUCCUACAAACCCUAAAAAAUUUCUAAUCUGCAUCAUCCACCCGUUAAUAUUGACUGAGCAGUCAAAUACAAGGUCGCACUGUGUGAGACCCAAAAGACCACGAGGCUGCCCUCGCCUUCAGUGGUAACAUAAAACUCAAUUAGAGGGCACAGCGUAACGAGGAAGGGCCUUCUGACACCUGCCACGCCAUGGGGGACCUUGGGCACAUUGUGCCGAGUCUAAUAAGGGGUCACGAAAGGACAAAUAGUGUUUGACUCCACUUACAUGAGGUACCCAGAGGAGUCAAGUGCAGAGACAGAAAGAAUGGGGCAUGCCAGGGGCUGGGGGAGGCAGAGGGGGAGUGAGUGUUCGAAGGGCACAGAGUUUCAGUUUGGGAAGAUGAAAAAGUUCUGGAGAUGGAUGGUGGUGAUGGUUGCAUAAAGAUGUGAGUGUCUUAGUGCCACUGAACCGUACACUUAAAAAUGGAUAAAAUGGUAAAUUUUUUUGUUAAGCAUAUUUUACAAUUUUAAAAAAUAAAAUAAAUUACGGAGAACAAAUUAUCCCACAAAAUUAAGAGGUGAGCAGUGCAGCAUGGACCAUGAAAUCCUCCGAGGUUGCAGAACUCAGGGAAGGCUUCGUGUGGCCGUCCACCGCCUCUUAACAAGCUGUGAAGUGCUGGCUAAAAUGGAGAAUCGAGGCCCGCAAGGUGUAAAGACUGUCUUAAACUCAACGAUGUCUAUAGGAAUCGAGGGCCAGGUCUCAUCUGCCAAGAAAGCUCAACCACCAAGGCAUAGCACGGGAUGGUUGGCAUGACCAUAGACUAUAUAUCCUGAGACCCAGUUCUUUUGAGAGUGGAGGGCACUAGUGAUAAUUAUGGCAGACAACGGUGUGUGGUCACCUGGGAUGUAGGGGAAAGAGGCCAGGUUUGGGAACCAGGCAGACCUGGGUUCAAGUCCUAGCUUAGGUUCUUACUUGGGCAAAUUGCUUUCUGUCUCUGAGCCUCAGUUUCUCCACCUGUAAAAUUUCUAUCUGAUGAGAUUAUUGUGAGUAUCAAAAGUAAGACAUGAAAAGCUCGCAGCCCAGGAUCUGACAGUCCCUAAGUACUACAAGCCUGUUAUCUCUUAGCUGCAAUUCUGAACCCUGAAAAGCUCUGAAAACUGCAAGCUUCCUAAACUUGUUUCGUGGCGAAACCUGCGGGGGACCAGUGCAACGCUAGUUAGAAUCCUUAUUCCACGUAGUGUAAUUUAUUCUUAUGUUUCUUUGCAGAAAUAUUAAUGUAUCGAUGACAGGGCGCUGCUCCAGUAACAGCCAGGAGGAUAUCAUCUUCCUCAAGGCCAAAUUUUCUGUGUUAGGUUGGAAAGAUGGGGACUCUCAUUAUAGUUUCAGCAUCCUAUACAGAUCUAAAUCUCUUGUCACCUAUAGAUACAGUUAUGGAAAUGUUAUAUAAAGUGAAAAAUGGCACGUUUAGUUAAUAAAAAGCCAC